GAUGAACGCUGGCGGCGUGCCUAAUACAUGCAAGUCGAGCGAACAGACGAGGAGCUUGCUCCUUUGACGUUAGCGGCGGACGGGUGAGUAACACGUGGAUAACCUACCUAUAAGACUGGGAUAACUUCGGGAAACCGGAGCUAAUACCGGAUAACAUGUUGAACCGCAUGGUUCAACAGUGAAAGACGGUCUUGCUGUCACUUAUAGAUGGAUCCGCGCCGCAUUAGCUAGUUGGUAAGGUAACGGCUUACCAAGGCAACGAUGCGUAGCCGACCUGAGAGGGUGAUCGGCCACACUGGAACUGAGACACGGUCCAGACUCCUACGGGAGGCAGCAGUAGGAAAUCUUCCGCAAUGGGCGAAAGCCUGACGGAGCAACGCCGCGUGAGUGAAGAAGGUCUUCGGAUCGUAAAACUCUGUUAUUAGGGAAGAACAAAUGUGUAAGUAACUAUGCACGUCUUGACGGUACCUAAUCAGAAAGCCACGGCUAACUACGU
rnacentral:rRNA from 1 species